CAUGACUCAAAACAUGGCGGCGUACUGCUGCUCCUUUUGCGUGAGCUGGACCUUAUACAACUUAUUAACAACGCAGUUUUUCCGAUGAUGGAUCGUUGUCUAAAAUAACAAGUGAUAGCGAGGACCCAGCAUCUGUUAGUGUUAAUCCUACAGCUGAUCUGAAAGAAGAUCCUGAUUAAAACACAAUUUUGCUAACGUUGGACCAAGAGCAUUUGGGAACUCAUGGGAAUGACAGCCACUAGUUCAUCACCACAGACUGCCAAAAACACCAUUGCUACAGAAGGGAAGAUCAGUGACAUAACUUUCACUAUUGCACCGUCUCAACCUACAACAUCCACACAUAGCACUUACAGCAACAACACCUAUUGAAUUAGAACAUUCAACACUGUCCAUACCCAUGGAGAUUCCAACGGCUCUCAUGCCCACAUAACAACCUACAGCAUCUGUGCCCACAGAGCAACCUACAGCAUCAGUGCCCACAGAGCAACCUACAUCUGCAUCUAUGGAGCAGCUGACAACUUCAAUUUCUACAAAGCAACCAACAGCUUCCACACAAAGUAGAAAAUCAUCAAGAAAACCAAAGAAGUCUGCCAAGCUUCAGCAAAUAGAGAGAGAAGGUUAACAACGCAGACUUGUGCGAAAGCUUACGGAACUUAAAAGAAGUGGUGACAUAGAUGACUAUAUCAGUACAUACAGGCCAAGAAAAAAAAGCAAGAC